UACCAGCACCCCGAGUGGUCGGGACGAUUAUUGGGCCUAAAGCAUCCGUAGCUGGUUCUACAAGUCUUCCGUUAAAUCCACCUGCUUAACAGAUGGGCUGCGGAGGAUACUAUAGAGCUAGGAGGCGGGAGAGGCAAGCGGUACUUAGUGGGUAGGGGUAAAAUCCGUUGAUCCAUUGAAGACCACCAGUGGCGAAGGCGGCUUGCCAGAACGCACUCGACGGUGAGGGAUGAAAGCUGGGGGAGCAAACCGG
rnacentral:rRNA from 1 species